rnacentral:rRNA from 1 species
UCCCUACGGGAGGCAGCAGUGGGGGAUACUGCACAAUGGGGGGAACCCUGAUGCAGCGACGCCGCGUGAGGGAUGAAGGUCUUCGGAUCGUAAACCUCUGUCAGCAGGGAAGAACGGUCACUGUGCUAAUCGGCAGUGAAUUGACGGUACCUGCAAAGGAAGCACCGGCUAACUCCGUGCCAGCAGCCGCGGUAAUACGGAGGGUGCGAGCGUUAAUCGGAAUUACUGGGCGUAAAGCGCUCGUAGGCGGUAUGUCAAGUCAAGGGUGAAAUCCCCGCGCUCA